UUCACUCUCUCUCUCUUUAGACUGUUCCUUUGUGUUUGAGUUCUUGAUCAUGAGCAGCUAGCCACCCCUUUGCCGUCAACUCGUGAUGGCAAAGGGGUGGCACGCGCGUAGCCCAAGACUCACUAUUGUUGUCUGGAGGGAGCUGCUGGUGAUUUUGUCUACUUUUAUCUUUGUCCCAAGGUAAGGAAAUUGCCAUUUUAUUCAAUUUUAUGGUGAUUUUCUAGUUAUGAAUAGGGCAACUUGUAUCCUUUGGCAUUUUCACUUCCCUUUGAGUACUCUCUUAAUGAGCUCUUGGAAGUUUUUAACUAUAGUAAAACAAUAAUUCAAGUAGGAUUUGUGUAGUCCUAUUUGUACUUUGUUGAACAUGUUUGGUGUAUUAAUAAAUGUUGUGUAGUACUUUGGGAAGAACUAGUUGAACAUGUAUUACUAGUAUAUAUUUGGCCAGUACUGGCUAUAAUAAUUAAAGUAUUGUUUUCUGUUAAUGUUUGAAGAGUGUUUAUUAUACAUUGUUGUUGACUUCGUACAUCAUGUUUUUGCGUAUAGAUGUUGCAAUAUAAUAUAAUCAAUAAAUAUUGAAGAGGAUAUGAAAUUUUUUAUUUAUUUUUUUAAAAUGUUUGAUAACUUCAAUUGUUACUUUCAUGCCUCGACGUGAUUGGAAAUGUAUAAAUAUUUUCGUGUGUUUAACAAUGAGGUUUGUUAAGCCAUGUUGGUCACUAUCAUAAUUUGUAGUUUGAUACUUAAUUAAGCUAAUUGCACUUUAUGUUGCAAAAUACCUUGGGUAUAAUAACUUGAAUGGAAUUAUCCUCUUAUCUUGUGAUUACAAGUGUAGAUUGUUCAUUUGUGCCAUUUUCUGACUAAGAGAUGCUGGAUCUUACUUUUUCUUAAAUGUAAUAAUUAUUACGUUGAGCCUUGAAGAAUAGACAAUCACUUGUUAUUACGUUAAAAAUAAAAAAUAAAAAAAUUCAAGAUAAAAUGAAAUGAAUCAAAAUAUAAUUAAGUUUAUAGCGUAUUGUGCAAACACGAUUAGAAAGUGAUUUAACCUGCGUGAUUAGUGGUGAAAGAGGGAUAGGUCCCUAGAAGGAUUUUAGGGAAUAGAAAGGACAAGUGAAUUAUAGAGCUAAUUAAGAUAAGAGGAAAUUAGAGAUUUUGCCCAUUGAGAUUGAGCAUGACGAGCCACAACUGAUCCAAUAUUGAGAUAAAAAAGGAAAAACUUCCUUAGAUUACAACCCCUCACCCCACGCACCCCACCCCCACAAUAUAUAUACACACAUUUUUUGUUUGUGUCAAGACGAAUUUUACACACAUAAUUUAAGCACUCUUUUUCACAGAGUUUGAUAGUCAUAAUGUUAUCAUGAUGUGCUGAAAUAAUGGAGACACAAAAGGUAAUAACAAGUGCUACAUGUACUUAGACUUAGAUUAGCACUACUUAAUACAUACUCCUUGAAUACUAGUAUUCUCUUUGUUUCUAUUUACUUGUCACCCUUCUAAGUUGCACAUGUAGUUAAAAAAUUAUUCAAUAAAAUUAUUCUUAUUUAUUACUCAUCUUUAUUUAAUGCUUUUUUUUUUUUUUAUAAUAUACUAAUAUCUCUUCAUAUUUAUUACAAAGGAUAAAAGUAAAAAAAAAUCGAUUGUGUCUUGAGUUUAUGAAAUGACUAGUAUAAGGAACAUCUAUUUUUAGCAUGCACGACAACUAAUUAGGAAAGGUGAGAGUAUCAAUUUAUGUGACACCAUUUGACUUGACAUAAAAAUUAAGAAAGAAAUGAAAUAUCUUAAAAUUUAUGAUCUAAAACAAGUCUUAGACAUUUAAAUAACUAUAAAUCAUAUCAUUGAAGAUAAAAGAGGUAUUUUGAAAUUAAAUUCUUUUUAAUUACAGAAAGACGGCUCAGUUUCUUUUGAACGAACUGAAAAAAAAUGUAUUACAUAAAUUGAAAUAGAAAGUAUCAAAUUACCAAUAGUAUAAUUCAUAACCACCUAUGUAACUAUAGUCACCUAGUUAAAUGUUAAUAAGUUGUCAUCGAGUGAUAGGGGCGCAAAGGGAUCAAAAAAGAAAGCCACUUCAUCGGAAAAGUAUAUUGAAUAAAUAAAAUUAUUUUUUUAUAUAUAUAAUGAUGUUGAAUCUUCUUAUUUUGUUAUAUAUGUUUACUUCUUAAUAUUUAACAUCCCAUUAAUGAACAUAUUGUAUCCAAUUUUUUAAAGGCAGAGGCGUAAAACAAGACAUUUUAUCUGAUAUGAGGCGAAGCGUAAGUCUCGAGGUGUUGGGGCGUAAGCCCCCCUGGAUGCUUUAAUUUUUAAUAUUUUAUAAAAUAAUAUAAUUAGAAAUAAAAAUUUUAUAAAAAAAAAUAGUUCAUUAUUAAUCAACUCUCACCUUCUUGUAACUCGAAAUAUAUUUACGCCCCGAUAUACCAUAUAUAAUAUUUUAAAAUAGAGAAAAAGAAAUAGCUUAAAAACUCGUCUCCAUGCGACUUGAAAAGAACUAAAAAAAAAGAAAGGAACUAGGAAGAAGAAAGUAGCCUCAGUACCUUUCUUAAGAGCGGCGUGGUCGGCACCCACCGAUAAAUACAUUUGAAAGUGCGACUUUUAAGCUUUCUUUUGCUUUCGAUUUCAAUAUUUAAGUAUUUAUCAAUCAUAUAUUUUAGUAUUAAGCUUAAAUAAUUAGAGAUUUAAUAAGAAAAAAUCAUUUUACAUUGUAACUUUCUAGGCUUACGCCUAAUUUUCGUCUCACGCUCAGGAGAAUGCCUCAAAUCUCGGGGCAUUCUCCUUCCAAUACUAUUGCCUUCCCUCAAUGCCUCGGGGCAUUUUUGGCUAUGUCUCGCCCCAAGGCGAGCCUCAGGACGAACCCCGAACUGCCUUUUAAAACACUGAAUUUAUAUCCACCGUUACUAAUGACUUAUUUUACAUAUCCUCUUAUUAUGUAAAUGUGUUUAAGUAAUAUACACUAUCAAUUAUUAUAAAUAUUUUUUUUACCAUCAUGUCAUCUUUACCUAUUAUUAAAAUGAUAUAUAUUUCACCACCAAAAGAUGUGGUGCAGUGGAUGGGUUGCACUCCCUUAAUCAGAGGUAUCAGGUUUGAGUCUUGGGUACGGAAAAAUCCUUGGUAGGGAGCGCUUCCGCCCGAAUGGGGCCCUACGCGGUGCGAAUCCGGAUUAGUCGAACUCCAAUGCAGGUAC
rnacentral:lncRNA from 1 species